rnacentral:lncRNA from 1 species
CUGGUAUUUCCUAUAAGAGUCAUGGUUCCAGCUUCAGAAAAUCCUGGACAAUCAGCAUCUUUCUACAGAAAAGGAUCUAAAUUGUUCCUGUCCUGGCAGUUCUUCAGAUAUGUAGAUUGGAAGUGCCUUGCUGGUAACUGCCUUAAACACUGAUGACAGUCUAUUGCUAAACAAUUCUGAGAGGAGAAACUGCUCAUCGAUACUGGAGGGUUAGAAAAAGGUUUAUACUUGACUAGUAGGUUGUUGGGGGGUUUAAUAAAACCAGAAACUACUCACAUAUGGUACUCUCCACACAUUUCACUUGAUCCUCAAAGCAACUCGAUGAAAUAGACGAGAAUUUAAUCCCAUUUUAUGGAUGGGUAAACGAACUCAGGUUGUGGUGCAAGUGCCGUGUGCCAGGAACUCAGCCAGGUGCCUUACAGGCAUGGUCUCAUUUACGACUCACAACACUAUGGGGUACUUUUGUUAUCUUUGUUUUAGAAAUUAGGAAAUUGAAGCCCAGAGAGGCUAAGUAACUUCCCCAAGAUCACAGAGUUAGCAAGAGUUAAAACUCGAGCCCAGGUGUGUUUGACACCAAAAACUCAUAACCAUGAGUCUAUGCAGCUGCCACUCACAGCUGAGUCAAAGGAUAGAUCUCAGAUUGUCUGAUUCCAAACUACCUGAAGUUUUUUCAUGCCAACCUACUGUCUCUUAAGAGAAUGAACAAGAGAGUUACUUCAAAUCAACAGGCAAGAGAGGCGAUUUGAAAACUUGAUUACAAUAAAGGCAUGGAAGAUGAAGAAAGCCUUGAGAGCCCUCUAAGGCAGUGAUUCUCAAACUGUGAUCCUUAGACCUCCUGAACCAACCACUUGGGGAACCUGGGAAAAAUGGAAGCACAUAGACCCCACAGAUCCAGGAAUUUGGGGAUGGGUCUCGAGAACAGAAUCACCCCCUUGUGAUUCUUAUUACACAAAAGUUUGAAAACCACUGCUUAAGGAAACAGUGAUUGGAGGAUAUUGACAAAAGAGAUACACAAGUAACUCUGAAUUUCUAAGUUUGUUUUCUGUAAGAUGGAGGCAGUAGGAAAACUUGGGAGACAGUGGAGCAAAUGACUUAUUCAGAGAGUUGAACUCAAACAAUUUUUCCCCGGUCAUCUGAAUCUUCCCUUCAGCAAAUUUCCAUUAGGGCCAGAGAGUAUUGUUUUAGACCAUGUGCCAUAAACCCUGAGAAAGAAACGGGCGGUGGGAAUGUUCCCAGGGGCGGACAUCUCUGUGUUUGGGUGUUUUCUCCUCUCACAGUGCUGAAAACACACUGUUCAUUGGGAGAGAAUGUUUGGCCUCUGUGGGAAGCUUUGUUCUGCUGCUGAUCCGCUGCCUGGCCCACAUCACUGCUGGGGAACCCCACCAGGACUCCAGCCCUGCCUUUCUGGGGUCAUUUUACAAGGGCCUGGAGGCCUAUUUCAGGGAAGCAUUCCCUAUCACACUGAGAAUGGCAGCAGUUUCCAGGGACAGUAAACUUGACCAAAGCAUAAGUGCUAUCCUGCUGGAAGAGCAGCCCAUCUCUGACAGAGAAAGGGAUCUUCUGUCUAAACUCAUUGAAAUGAAGCAUGUAUCUCCCUUGGAGCCAGAAUCACUAGAAGAGUAUAUUCAUAAAAACAAAGAUCUUCUGCUCUUCACCAGUAUGGAACAUUUCCUAAAAAGCAUCCUCGCUGCAGAACAACAAAUCCUAAGAAAACCAAGAAAUCAAUUUGGGAGUGAAGAUAAGAUCUAGAAAGAAAAUGGUAAUCUCAUUUCAGUCUGCAUUAUUAAAAGGUCUUAAAUACAUCACUACAACAUCUGAUGAAGCUGAUAAGAAUUAUUGGAAAAUCUAUAAUAUUCAUGGUAAAACACAUAAAUGUGUAUCAUAGUUUUAAGUGUAUAUAUAAUAGGGGCUAAUAUUUGCCACAGAGGUUGAGGACCCCUGCUCACUGUGACUAAAAUUUUCAGUGUGACUAAAAGAUCAUUAGAUCACGUAUCUUAUUAAAAUAUGUAUUAAAGAUAUUGACUAAAACUUUCUGGGAAUGUAAAACUUGUAUAUGUCAUUAUUCAAUCAGGCUAAGGUUGUCUAUUACUGAAUCACAAAGUAGAUGGAUAUAUAUAUAUAAUAUUUGGUGAUCUAGAAUGUGUACUUAAAAUAUAGGCCAUGUCACACAAAAUUCACUUUGGAGGCCCUGGUUGAAACACCACAAAGAGAUAAGCAGUCAUCUGAAAGUGAAGUUUUGGAGUGCUGAUCAGGAGAUACAACACCAUCACAUGAAUUUAGGUUAAAAAAAAUCCAGAUACAAACUUCAACUCAAAAGCUGCUCAGAUUACAAAGCCAAUGCUUGAAAUUCAAACUGCUUCUCACAUGGAUAAUUCUGUAUCAUGCCCUGUAUUUAUCUGUUCUCAUGCUGCUAAUAAAGACAUGCUUCAGACUGGGUAAUUUAUAAA